ensembl:lncRNA
ACACACACAGACACACAGACAGACACACACACACACACAGACACACACAGACACACACACACACACACAGAGACAGACACACAGACAGACACACACACACACACACACACACACAGACACACACACACAGACACACACACAGACACACGCACACACACAGACACACACAGACACACACACACACACACACAGACACACACAGACACACACACACAGGGGGGUAGGACCCAUCUUUUGUCUUCCACAGGUUGGUAUAGCAACAGAAACGAAGGGAACAGUAGGACUCCCCCGGCCCCUUAACAGAAUAUCAGAAACAUCAAAGAAAUGAAAAUGAAAAUAAACAAACCAAAACAAAAUGGCCCCUCGGGAAGUGAGGGGUUACAUAAUUAAGGCAUGAUCUCACCUGGACCCAUCCUACCCACUGUCAAACAGGGAGUCGCAGUGUAUAUAAUAAAGGUUUCUCUCUCUCUCUCUCUCUCUGUGUGUGUGUGUCUGUGUGUGUGUGUGUGUGUGUGUGUGAGAGAGUGAGUGUGACAAAGUUCACUCCUCCAGGUCCUUCUCAGGUGUGAGCAAAUUCUGCAAAGUCCUUAGCGAUUGUUGGAUUGGUCUUCCAUUAGUGUUCCAAUGGACAGCGACAUCCACGUUUGCAAUUCUGGAGAGAGUAUGAGCAGAAACCUCCCCUUGGCACGACAUCUGAAAACAUCGAGCUUCUUCGAUAAGAAGUUCAUUUCAUUUGACUUAGCUUGUAGAAGCGGUGGGGUUCUCAUUCUGUUCUUUUCUCUUCCACCUUCUGUGUCAUUACAUUGUGAUGUCAUAAAGAGUAUUCCAUUAAGUUCCACUCACUGAAAGUCUCUCUACUAUGAUGUCAUGAGGAUAACAUCAAAGCUGGCCCUCACAGCUGCUGUUCCAUUGGCCGAUAAACAGGAUGUGAUUCUAUGAAAUGACAUUUGUUUUUUUCUUGAUAUAAACUACCAUUUUAAGGCAAACCAGGUCUAUGUCAAACAUCAGAAAGGAAAUCUGUCAUUAAAAACAUCACAGCUUUAAAGUAGAAACCUGAAAUUGUCUAAACUAGAAAGGAGAAAUCUGUGGAAAGGAUUGAAAUGUGAAAUCUCACGUUGAUCAGACCCUGCACAACUAACCCUCAAAUGGUCUAUGCACCAGACUCCUGCACACGGAUAGAAACACAUUGAUGAAAAAAAAAGUAUACAUGUUUUUUUUUUAAAUCCUAAGACGUGUGACUUUAUCACACCUGUUCUAGGUCUAAGAAGUGGAGAAGAGGCCUCCGAAGCCAGGACAGACAGUGGGCCCCCAGAAUCUGGUCUCGGAGGAAGCUGGUCUCAGAGGGAGCUGGUCUCGGAGGGAGUUGGUCUCGGAGGAAGCUGGUCUCGAAGGGAGCUGGUCUCAGAGGGAGCUGGUCUCGGAGGAAGCUGGUCUCGG